GACAGAGGGUGCAAACGUUGCUCGGAAUUACUGGGCGUAAAGAGCGUGUAGGCGGCCAAACAGGUCCGUUGUGAAAACUGGAGGCUCAACCUCCAGACGUCGACGGAAACCGUGUGGCUAGAGUCCGGAAGAGGAGAGUGGAAUUCCUGGUGUAGCGGUGAAAUGCGCAGAUAUCAGGAAGAACACCAAUGGCGAAGGCAGCUCUCUGGGACGGUACUGACGCUGAGACGCGAAAGCGUGGGGAGCGAACAGG
rnacentral:rRNA from 1 species